CAGUAGCGCGGGAAUACGAAGGGGGCUAGCGUUGUUCGGAUUUACUGGGCGUAAAGCGCACGCAGGCGGACCUUUAAGUCAGGGGUGAAAUCCCGGGGCUCAACUCCGGAACUGCCUUUGAUACUGGGAGUCUUGAGUUCGAGAGAGGUGAGUGGAAUUGCGAGUGUAGAGGUGAAAUUCGUAGAUAUUCGCAGGAACACCAGUGGCGAAGGCGGCUCACUGGCUCGAUACUGACGCUGAGGUGCGAAAGCGUGGGGAGCAAACAGGAUUAGAUACCCGGGUAGUCCCUGUCUCUUAUACC
rnacentral:rRNA from 1 species